rnacentral:rRNA from 1 species
AAUGAACGUUGGCGGCGUGGAUUAGGCAUGCAAGUCGAACGAGAUCUGUAGCAAUACAGUGAAAGUGGCGAAAGGGAGAGUAAUACGUAGGUACCUGCCCUCGGGUCUGGGAUAGCUGCGGGAAACUGCAAUUAAUACCGGAUGACGUCUCUGGACCGAAGGUGUGAUUCCGCCAGGGGAUGGGCCUGCGUCCUAUCAGCUAGUUGGUGUGGUAAUGGCGCACCAAGGCUAAGACGGGUACGGGGUGUGAGAGCAUGCCCCCGCUCACUGGGACUGAGAUACUGCCCAGACACCUACGGGUGGCUGCAGUCGAGAAUCUUCCGCAAUGGGCGCAAGCCUGACGGAGCGACGCCGCGUGUGGGAUGAAGGCCUUCGGGUUGUAAACCACUGUCAGUGGGGAGCAAAUGCAUCAGGGUUCUCCCUGGUGUUUGAGCGAUCCGCAGAGGAAGCACAGGCUAAUUCCGUGCCAGCCGCCGCCGUAAAAC